rnacentral:rRNA from 1 species
UACGUAGGGUGCGAGCGUUAAUCGGAAUUACUGGGCGUAAAGCGUGCGCAGGCGGUUUUGUAAGCCGGGGGUGAAAUCCCCGGGCUCAACCUGGGAAUGGCAUUUGGGACUGCAAGGCUGGAGUGCGGCAGAGGAGACUGGAAUUCCUGGUGUAGCAGUGAAAUGCGUAGAUAUCAGGAGGAACACCGAUGGCGAAGGCAGGUCUCUGGGCUGACACUGACGCUCAUGCACGAAAGCGUGGGGAGCAAACAGG